GUGGGGAAUAUUGGACAAUGGGCGAAAGCCUGAUCCAGCAAUGCCGCGUGAGUGAAGAAGGCCUUAGGGUUGUAAAGCUCUUUUACCCGGGAUGAUAAUGACAGUACCGGGAGAAUAAGCUCCGGCUAACUCCGUGCCAGCAGCCGCGGUAAUACGGAGGGAGCUAGCGUUGUUCGGAAUCACUGGGCGUAAAGCGCACGUAGGCGGCUUUGUAAGUUAGAGGUGAAAGCCCGGGGCUCAACUCCGGAACUGCCUUUAAGACUGCAUCGCUUGAAUCUGGGAGAGGUGAGUGGAAUUCCGAGUGUAGAGGUGAAAUUCGUAGAUAUUCGGAAGAACACCAGUGGCGAAGGCGGCUCACUGGACCAGAAUUGACGCUGAGGUGCGAAAGCGUGGGGAGCAAACAGGAUUAGAAACCCUUGUAGUCC
rnacentral:rRNA from 1 species